GCAGUCGAACGAUGAACCCGCUUCGGUGGGGGAAGAGUGGCGAACGGGUGAGUAACACGUGGGCAAUCUGCCCUGCACUCUGGGACAAGCCCUGGAAACGGGGUCUAAUACCGGAUAUGAGUCUCCAUCGCAUGGUGGGGGCUGUAAAGCUCCGGCGGUGCAGGAUGAGCCCGCGGCCUAUCAGCUUGUUGGUGAGGUAACGGCUCACCAAGGCGACGACGGGUAGCCGGCCUGAGAGGGCGACCGGCCACACUGGGACUGAGACACGGCCCAGACUCCUACGGGAGGCAGCAGUGGGGAAUAUUGCACAAUGGGCGCAAGCCUGAUGCAGCGACGCCGCGUGAGGGAUGACGGCCUUCGGGUUGUAAACCUCUUUCAGCAGGGAAGAAGCGUGAGUGACGGUACCUGCAGAAGAAGCGCCGGCUAACUACGUGCCAGCAGCCGCGGUAAUACGUAGGGCGCAAGCGUUGUCCGGAAUUAUUGGGCGUAAAGAGCUCGUAGGCGGCUUGUCGCGUCGGUUGUGAAAGCCCGGGGCUUAACCCCGGGUCUGCAGUCGAUACGGGCAGGCUAGAGUUCGGUAGGGGAGAUCGGAAUUCCUGGUGUAGCGGUGAAAUGCGCAGAUAUCAGGAGGAACACCGGUGGCGAAGGCGGAUCUCUGGGCCGAUACUGACGCUGAGGAGCGAAAGCGUGGGGAGCGAACAGGAUUAGAUACCCUGGUAGUCCACGCCGUAAACGGUGGGCACUAGGUGUGGGCAGCAUUCCACGUUGUCCGU
rnacentral:rRNA from 1 species